rnacentral:lncRNA from 1 species
GUCCUGUAAUAUUAUGUUGUCAUUUCAAUGUUAUAUUUAACUUUGCCAUUAAAGUGCGAGGUUUGGCAUGCCACAAAACCAGGUUCAACCCACCAUUUUAUUCCCCUUUAAAAAUGUCCUGUACUAAGUCAGGAAGGUGGCCAUUGUUAUAUUAUUGUUCGUUUCUGUGUGUGUUGCAUUUUAAUGUUGUGUCGUUUGUUUUUUCUUAUUUUUGAGAUAUUAAGGUAAGACGUGGCACGGUACUUUUCUAUCCCAAAUUCAUGUAUUUGGCUUUGAUGUUAUAUUUGUUAUUCUCGUGGUAUUUUGUCUGAUGCUUGGUCCGUUUCUGUGUGUGUUGCGUUUCGGUGUUGUGUCGUUGUUCUCCUCUUAUAUUUAAUGCGUUUCCCUCGGUUUUAGUUUGUUACCCCGAUUUAGUUUUUUGUCCAUGGAUUUAUGAGUUUUGAACAGCGGUAUACUACUGUUGCCUUUAUUUA